rnacentral:sRNA from 1 species
UCAGCAGUUGGUACCGAAGGAGCAGGGAACAUGUAUACAAAAACAACUUUGAGUCUUCUUCUUGUUUUGAUAACAUUUUCUUUUAUGGUGAUCGACGUCACGAACGGAUGGUUAUUCGAUCGAGAUCCAUGGGGUGGAAUAAAGUUUCCAAAAAGAUGCAUAAAAGUUUGCAUUUUUCCUCCUUGUGAUUGUGAUUCUCCUUUUGGGUAAUGAUGACAUACAUAUAUCGACCUUAAUUGUCGACAGCUAUUGGAACAUUAUUGAAAACACAAAAAUGGUGUGACGCCCUGCAAAUCAUUUAACGAUGAUUGCAAAACAUUUGACGAUAACUGCAAAACGACUUUGUGGAGAAAUCCGAUCAAAAAAUAACAAUUACAACUAUAUUUUAACUUGCAAUAAAUGUAUCUGUUAACAAAUUAUAUAUUAAACAAUAAUAUAUUGUAGUAAUGUUUUCUGUAUAAUUACAAACAAUGUUCACAAUAAAAAUGACAUAAUUUUC